GAUGAACGCUAGCGACAGGCCUAACACAUGCAAGUCGAGGGGCAGCACAUGAGUAGCAAUACGAUGGUGGCGACCGGCGCACGGGUGAGUAACGCGUAUGCAACCUACCCAUUACAGGGGAAUAACUCUCGGAAACGGGAACUAAUACCGCAUAAUACCACGGGAUCGCAUGGUCUUGUGGUUAAAGAAUUUCGGUAAUGGAUGGGCAUGCGUGACAUUAGUUUGUUGGUAGGGUAACGGCCUACCAAGACUACGAUGUCUAGGGGUUCUGAGAGGAAGGUCCCCCACACUGGUACUGAGACACAGACCAGACUCCUACGGGAGGCAGCAGUGAGGAAUAUUGGUCAAUUGGCGAGAGCCUGAACCAGCCAAGUCGCGUGCAGGAUGACUGCCUUAUGGGUUGUAAACUGCUUUUAUAAAGGAAUAACAGCUCUUACGUGUAAGAGGAUGAAUGUACUUUAGGAAUAAGGAUCGGCUAACUCCGUGCCAGCCGCCGCGGUAAAAC
rnacentral:rRNA from 1 species